rnacentral:lncRNA from 1 species
UUUGGUUUCCUACUCAUGUUUCAGAAUGUUUGCUUGAGCUACAGCCAUCAUGUCCACAUUCAAACCAGUAAGAAAGAGGAAGGGGGAAAGGAUGUCUUCUCUCUUUUUAAGGACAUAUCUCAGAAGUUGUAUGUGACACUCUACUUACAUCUUCUUAGCCAAAACUUCCUCACAAAUCACACUAGCUGCAAAGAAAUCUGGAAAAUAUAGUUUUUAUUUGGGGUGUCAUAUGCCCAGCUAAAAAUCAAGGUUUUAUGAUCAAGGCAGAAGAGAAUGCACUUCUGACAUUACUGAUUUUUAAUGUUACAGCAAACCUUUCCCAACUCUCCAGCCAGAGGUUUGCAAUCUAAAACCUGCAAUGGGCUAGGAAAUUACAAUAAAAUUCUGAAUUUCAAAUUCUGAUCACCCCUCUACAGGUAAGUAUUAUUUCUUUCAUUUCUGUGUUCAAGAAAUUGAGUCUCAGAGAGCUUCAGUGACUUUCCUGAGAUCUCUCGGUAACUAAAUGCCCCAACCAAGAUUUAAACUCAACCCUGCCAAAGCCCAGGCUUCUAAUGCGUCAUUCUACAUCACAGGAAUCCCACAUGUGUUUGCAGGAUGAGCCUUGAAUCAACCAACUACUGUUGCAUACUAUGCAACCACAAAACUCUGAGACCUAGACACUUAUUUUACUACCAUGUCUACAAGUCAACUGGAGACCAGCUGCUCUAGGCUGGGCUGGACUGGACUCCCCCAAGCCACAGCUGGGUCUGAGUCUGCUCCAUGGUUCUCCAUCUUCCUCAGACUUGUGGGCCUACCAGGGUAGAGCCUUCUCAUGCCAAAAGCAGAGAAGCACAUCUCACUGCUGCUUGUCGUGGGUCUGCUUCCAUUCCCUUGACUGAAGGAAGUCACAUGGCCAAGACAAAAGCUAGGCAGUACAGUCCUCCAGGAGGGAGUAAAUAUUUCUGAAUAUGUUCUUAUUUACCCCAAGUCCCUAUGCAGAUGCAUUGGAAUGGGAAGAGCCCCAGACUGAGAAUCAGAAGUCCCUAGUUCUAGUCCCAGACCUGCCAUGAAUGACUUGUGUGGCCUUGGACAAAUACUAGCCCCUUCUGGGCCUCAUGUUUGUUCUAGAGAUCUCUAAGGCAUACGCAGGCUUUAACUUAAGAAGCUAUGGCAUGAAAAAACAAAUAGUUGCCUCUCAAAAUUCUAAUCUCCUCUGAAUGUAGCUUAGUCUUUAUGCAAAAAUAAACACACACACUAGAGUGUCUUCAAAACCACUGGGCUAAUAAUGUUCAUGAUUCUGUUAAUGACCAAACUGGAGCACAGUGCAGCUGGUCCUGCUGGUCACAGGAAGGCCCCAGAAAGAAAUGAAGCCAUCAAGAAGCCAUUGAUGCUGUGACCUUCUGUUGCAGGCUGCUCCUCUACUUAGACAGGGAGAAGAUGGCCAUCUAUGAACCAGGAAGCCCUCACUAGACCCCAAGUCUGCCAGCACCUCGAACUUGGAUUCCUCAGUCUUCACAACAGUGUGAGGACUCCAGGUUUCAUCUUGAAUUCUAGACUCAACUGGAAUAACUGACUGGUUCUGCCCUCAGGCAAAAGUUUAUAAAAUGGAAAAUCCGGUGUCAUUUUUCUCCCAUGUCUAGAGUCCAGUUUCUGCCUUCUCUUGGUCACUCUCCAAUACCUUCAGAGUCAUUCAGGACUCCAGGUUCCUUCCAUCUUCUGGCUCCUUCACCUCCUACAGCACGUCCUCCGCACAGUCAAAGUUCUUGGGAGAAUCAGGACAGGUGUGGAUGCAAAGUGGUUCAUAUCAACUGCUCCUACAUGCUGGACUUGAAAGAAGACCCUAGGGCCAGUCGGCCUAGGGAUAUUCAGCUAAUUGAAGAGAAAAUAUGAUGAAAGGGUUUUCCUUUAAAUUCAAAAUAAAAGCAAAUAAGUUGAAGGUCA